UCAGAGUCUACAUUCCAGAUUGAUUAGAGUCUUAGGACAUUUUUUUUUCCUUUUCUUUUCUUUCCUUUUAUUUUAUUUAUUUUUUUUUUAUUUUAAGGAACUACAUAAUUUCAGCUAGAGCCACCAUACUAGCAAUGACCUGUUAGGCUGCAGAGAGAAGGUGUGGCUGUGGUUCAGGAACAAGCUGUACAUUUUUCACCCUGACUAUGGGACGGAAAUCAGUGCUGCAUCUUCAUGGGCUGCUCUGCUCUGAGAUGGCAGUCACGACGACCGAGGGGCCCGUUUUGUUCAGAAAUAUAUUUUAAAUGUUUAGUAAAAAAAAAAAAAGAAAAGAAAAGAAAAAGAAAGGAACAAACAUAACUAGUUACCCUCAGCAAAAAUAAAGGUCUUCAUUGUUUGUACCAUUUGGAAGUGAUCUGCCAGCCAUCGUCUCGGAGAGAAAGGAAUGACUGCAUUCAUCUUUCAACAGUUUUAGAGAAGAGGGAAGAAAUGCUCAGAUGGAAGAGGGGAGAUGGAUGCUGUGACAAUUAAGGAACUGUCAUGUGAAAGAUGUUUUAAAAGCCAACAGUGCAUAAGUUGCCGUAGCCUGGAGAAAGAGAAGCUGAGUAUCACAGAGCAGGACAAAACUCAUCUCUCUGACUCGUAA
rnacentral:lncRNA from 1 species